rnacentral:rRNA from 1 species
ACAUCCAGAGAACUUAGCAGAGAUGCUUUGGUGCCUUCGGGAACUCUGAGACAGUGCUGCAUGGCUGUCGUCAGCUCGUGUUGUGAAAUGUUGGGUUAAGUCCCGNAACGAGCGCAACCCUUAUCCUUUGUGCCAGCGGUUCGGCCGGGAACUCAAAGGAGACUGCCGGUGAUAAACCGGAGGAAGGUGGGGAUGACGUCAAGUCAUCAUGGCCCUUACGGCCAGGGCUACACACGUGCUACAAUGGCGCAUACAAAGAGAAGCGACCUCGCGAGAGCAAGCGGACCUCAUAAAGUGCGUCGUAGUCCGGAUUGGAGUCUGCAACUCGACUCCAUGAAGUCGGAAUCGCUAGUAAUCGUAGAUCAGAAUGCUACGGUGAAUACGUUCCCGGGCCUUGUACACACCGCCCGUCACACCAUGGGAGUGGGUUGCAAAAGAAGUAGGUAGCUUAACCUUCGGGAGGGCGCUUACCACUUUGUGAUUCAUGACUGGGGUGAAGUCGUAACAAGGUAAGCGUAGCGAG